AUUCCAUGAUGCGGGCAAUUUUUUAUCAUCAUAUUAAAACGCUCGAAGGCUUCAUGAAAUAUUUCGCCUUGUUGUUGUUGAAAACUCCUCAACUCCUUCCUAGCAU
rnacentral:snoRNA from 1 species